rnacentral:rRNA from 1 species
GACGACGCUGGCGGCGUGCUUAACACAUGCAAGUCGAACGGGAGUAUUGAAGAAGCUUGCUUUAGAGAUACUUUAGUGGCGGACGGGUGAGUAACGCGUGAGGAGCUGUCCUAUGCAGGGGGACAACAGCUGGAAACGGCUGCUAAUACCCCAUAAGCCGAGAGGUAAAAGGAUCAAUCCGGCAGAGGAGGUACUCGCGUCCUAUCAGCUAGUAGGUGAGGUAACGGCUCACCUAGGCGAAGACGGGUAGCCGGCCUGAGAGGGCGAACGGCCACACUGGAACUGAGAUACGGUCCAGACUCCUACGGGAGGCAGCAGUGGGGAAUAUUGGGCAAUGGGGGAAACCCUGACCCAGCGACGCCGCGUGGGUGAAGAAAUCCUUCGGGAUGUAAAGCCCUGUUGUAUGGGAAGAGCGGAAGACGGUACCAUACGAGGAAGCCCCGGCAAACUACGUG